rnacentral:misc_RNA from 1 species
AAAAAAUUUAAAUGCCAUUUUCAACUCUUUGACUAUGUUACAAUUCCUAGGUCUACUCUCCUGCCUAAAACGGACAUUACAUCAUCCUACACCCUUCUCCCAAUCCAUCAACUCUAAACACCAAAUCGAUUUUGUCUGCUCAACACUAAUAAGAUGCCAGAUAAAAAGUGCAUCAGUCCAUACAAACUACAAUAACCACCAAGCGAAAUCACCCCUUUUCCUUUGCUCCUCAUUACUAAGCCCCCAGCACAGCAGUCAAUUGCAUGGCCAAUCAUAUCCCAAAUUUCAACCCAAUUUCCAAGACUGAGAAUCAAUACAGAUACCAGCCAAU